GCAUAUCAAUAAGCGGAGGAAAAGAAACCAACAGGGAUUGCCCUAGUAACGGCGAGUGAAGCGGCAACAGCUCAAAUUUGAAAUCUGCCUUCGGGCCGAGUUGUAAUUUGUAGAGGAAGCUUUUGGUGAGGCACCUUCUGAGUCCCCUGGAACGGGGCGCCAUAGAGGGUGAGAGCCCCGUAUAGUCGGAUGCCGAUCCAAUGUAAAGCUCCUUCGACGAGUCGAGUAGUUUGGGAAUGCUGCUCAAAAUGGGAGGUAAAUUUCUUCUAAAGCUAAAUACCGGCCAGAGACCGAUAGCGCACAAGUAGAGUGAUCGAAAGAUGAAAAGCACCUUGAAAAGGGGGUUAAAUAGCACGUGAAAUUGUUGAAAGGGAAGCGUUUGCGGCCAGACUUGCGCCGCCCCGAUCAUCCGGUGUUCUCACCGGUGCACUCGGGGCGGCGCAGGCCAGCAUCGGUUUCGGCGGGGGGAUAAAGGCCCGGGGAACGUAGCUCCUUCGGGAGUGUUAUAGCCCCGGGCGUAAUGCCCUCGCCGGGACCGAGGUUCGCGCAUCUGCAAGGAUGCUGGCGUAAUGGCCGCCAACGACCCGUCUUGAAACACGGACCAAGGAGUCAAGGUUUUGCGCGAGUGUUUGGGUGUAAAACCCGCACGCGUAAUGAAAGUGAACGUAGGUGAGAGCUUCGGCGCAUCAUCGACCGAUCCUGAUGUAUUCGGAUGGAUUUGAGUAAGAGCGUUAAGCCUUGGACCCGAAAGAUGGUGAACUAUGCUUGGAUAGGGUGAAGCCAGAGGAAACUCUGGUGGAGGCUCGCAGCGGUUCUGACGUGCAAAUCGAUCGUCAAAUCUGAGCAUGGGGGGCGAAAGACUAAUCGAACCAUCUAGUAGCUGGUUACCGC
rnacentral:rRNA from 1 species